rnacentral:rRNA from 1 species
GACGAACGCUGGCGGCGUGCCUAAUACAUGCAAGUAGAACGCUGAAGGAGGAGCUUGCUUCUCUGGAUGAGUUGCGAACGGGUGAGUAACGCGUAGGUAACCUGCCUGGUAGCGGGGGAUAACUAUUGGAAACGAUAGCUAAUACCGCAUAAGAGUAGAUGUCGCAUGACAUUUGCUUAAAAGGUGCAAUUGCAUCACUACCAGAUGGACCUGCGUUGUAUUAGCUAGUUGGUGAGGUAACGGCUCACCAAGGCAACGAUACAUAGCCGACCUGAGAGGGGGAUCGGCCACACUGGGACUGAGACACGGCCCAGACUCCUACGGGAGGCAGCAGUAGGGAAUCGUCGGCAAUGGACGGAAGUCUGACCGAGCAACGCCGCGGGAGUGAAGAAGGGUUUCGGAUCGUAAAGCUCUGUUGUAAGAGAAGAACGAGUGUGAGAGUGGAAAGUUCACACUGUGACGGUAUCUUACCAGAAAGAGACGGCUAACUACGUG